AUGAGGCUGGCCCCUGUCAUCAGCACACUGAUCUCGCCUGCCCAAACUGCUUUUCAACAUACUAAGUGCAUCCAUGGCAGUUUCCUAUAUGUCCAAAACGCCGUCAGAUCCCUGCAUCGCCGCAAGACACCUGCCUUGCUUCUGAAACUAGAUAUAGCCAAGGCAUUUGACAGCAUCUCUUGGGAAUAUAUCUUUGAACUUCUCCAAAAAAUGGGCUUCCCUGCACGAUGGCGAGACUGGAUUGCACUUCUGCUCUUUACAUCCUCGUCGUCUUGCCUCCUGAAUGGUUCUCCGGGCGCCUCCAUCAUCCAUCGUCGUGGGCUGCGACAGGGGGAUCCGCUCUCGCCGCUGCUCUUCAUCCUCUGCAUCGACCCCCUGCAUCGUCUCCUAGAGGCGGCAACCUUGGCAGGCCAGCUCUCUCCUCUGCCUGGACGGCCGUGCGCAUGCGUACAAGCUUGUAUGCCGACGACACCAUGA
rnacentral:rRNA from 1 species